rnacentral:rRNA from 1 species
GAUGAACGCUAGCUACAGGCUUAACACAUGCAAGUCGAGGGGCAGCAUGAAGUUUGCUUGCAAACUUUGAUGGCGACCGGCGCACGGGUGAGUAACGCGUAUCCAACCUUCCCCUUAGUAGGGCAUAGCCCGGCGAAAGUCGGAUUAAUACCCUAUGUUCUUCGUAGAGGACAUCUGAAAUGAAGCAAAGACUUGUCGCUAAGGGAUGGGGAUGCGUCUGAUUAGGUUGUUGGCGGGGUAACGGCCCACCAAGUCUACGAUCAGUAGGGGUUCUGGGAGGAAGGUCCCCCACAUUGGUACUGAGACAAGAACCAAACUCCUACGGGAGGCAGCAGUGAGGAAUAUUGGUCAAUGAACGAGAGUCUGAACCAGCCAAGUAGCGUGCAGGAAGACUGCCCUAUGGGUUGUAAACUGCUUUUAUGCGGGGAUAAAGUGCGGCACGUGUGCCGUUUUAUAGGUACCGCAUGAAUAAGGACCGGCUAAUUCCGUGCCAGCCGCCGCGGUAAGAC